rnacentral:rRNA from 1 species
CAGUCGCCGCGGUAAUACGUAGGGUGCAAGCGUUAAUCGGAAUUACUGGGCGUAAAGCGUGCGCAGGCGGUUAUAUGAGUCAGAUGUGAAAUCCCCGGGCUCAACCUGGGAACUGCAUUUGAGACUGUAUGGCUAGAGUGUGUCAGAGGGGGGUAGAAUUCCACGUGUAGCAGUGAAAUGCGUAGAUAUGUGGAGGAAUACCGAUGGCGAAGGCAGCCCCCUGGGAUAACACUGACGCUCAUGCACGAAAGCGUGGGGAGCAAACAGGAUUAGAGACCCCUGUAGUCCCUGUCUCUUAUAC